CUUUAUUGAGUUGUCGAUAGUCGGUGCCAUUCUAUACGGAGUUAUCGAUAUCAGAUUCAUUCCCGGCACUAACUCAAUACCAAAUUUAACUUCUCUGAUCAGUGGUAAACCCAGUAACUCUUCAGGAAACACAUCCGAAUAUUCACACACAACUGGUACUGAUUUAAUCUUCUUUUCAGUCACUUUAGUGUCGAGCACAUAAGCAAAAUAAGC
rnacentral:lncRNA from 1 species